UACAGAGGUCUCAAGCGUUGUUCGGAUUUAUUGGGUCGUAAAGGGCGCGUAGGCGGCGGGGUAAGGUCGGGUGUGAAAUCUCAGGGCUCAACCCUGAAACUGCACUUGAUACUGCUCUGCUUGAGGACUGGAGAGGAGACUGGAAUUCACGGUGUAGCAGUGAAAUGCGUAGAUAUCGUGAGGAAGACCAGUGGCGAAGGCGGGUCUCUGGACAGUUCCUGACGCUGAGGCGCGAAGGCCAGG
rnacentral:rRNA from 1 species